GAGCCCCCCGUCGACCCCGGGACUGUGCUCCGCGUUGCCCGUGACCACAGCGACAGCGUCCUUGGCGUCCUUGGCGUGCUGAGGAUGCACGCCGGCGGCCCCCCGCCGCGACCCGCCGAGAGGACUGUCAUCAGAUACAGGACGUCUCCGCAGUCGCGCUCCAGUGUUUGAACUUUCCCGCCAACCCCCGCGAUAGCAGUGAACAGUGCUGCGGACACGUGUGGUGUUGUUGAAGGACUCGGCGUUGUUGUUGUGAUAGUGCGAGCGGUUCCGGAAGACGCCAACGAGGAAUUCCCCCUGUGACAGGGUUGCAGGUUGCCGCAGACUGCAAGCGUCGCCUUCCUAGAAGGACAAGUCCUGCGGAGUCCGUGACAGUCCGUCGCCAUGGUCAGCAAGGCCGAGAACCGCAACGGCCACGAGCUGGCCCCGCUGAACGCGCGCGGCGGCGGCAUCGCCGGCCCCAUGAGCCCCGUGAGCCCCGUGGUGGGCGUGGGCUCGGCGGCGCAGGCCGACCCCUCGGGGGUGACCAUCGUGGUGACCCACGCGCCGCCCGUGCACCGCGGCUCCAUCAUCUCCAGGGCGUCCGCCGGGCCGGAGCGCGCCGCCUGGUCCAACAAGAUGCAGUUCUUCCUGUCCAUCAUCGGCUACUCCGUGGGCCUGGGCAACAUCUGGCGGUUCCCGUACCUCUGCCAGCAGCACGGCGGCGGUGCGUUCCUGCUGCCGUUCGCCGUCAUGCUGGUCCUGGAGGGCAUCCCCCUGUUCCUCAUCGAGCUGGGCAUCGGCCAGAAGAUGCGGCUCGGCUCCAUGGGCGUCUGGAACACCAUCCACCCCUGGCUGGGCGGCAUCGGCCUGGCCUCGUGCGUUGUCACCUUCUUCGUCGCGCUCUACUACAACGUCAUCAUCACCUGGGUCUUCUUCUACCUCUUCAACUCGCUCAGGAGCCCGCUGCCGUGGGCCACCUGUCCGCAAGUGAACGGCACUGCGGUGCCCGAGUGCCUGGGGUCGUCCGAGACGGCCUACUUCUGGUACCGCACCACGCUGGACGCGUCCACGUCCAUGGAGGACAGCGGCGGCCUCAAGUGGUGGGUGGUGCUGUGCCUGCUGCUGGCCUGGGUCGUCGUCUUCUUCAUCACCAUGAAGGGCAUCCAGUCGUCCGGCAAGGUGGUGUACUUCACGUCCAUGUUCCCCUACAUCGUGCUCACCAUCUUCCUCAUCCGCGGCCUCACGCUGCCGGGCGCGAGCGCCGGCCUCAUCCACCUGUACACGCCCAAGUUGGAGAAACUACUGAACCCGGACGUGUGGCGCGAGGCGGCCACGCAGGUCUUCUACUCGUUCGGCCUGGCGUUCGGCUCCCUCAUCGCCUUCGGCUCCUACAACCCGCCCAAGAACAACGUGGUCCGCGACGUGAUCCUGGUGUCGGUGUGCAACGCCUUCACCGCCAUCUACGCCUCGCUCGUCGUCUUCGCCAUCCUGGGCUUCAAGGCGCACCUCAACGUGGAGCGCUGCCUCGAGGUCAACAAGCCCCUGGCGUACAGCGUGCAGCUGCUGCCGACGCCCAACGCCACCAACGAGGCGUACUUCGCCAUGCUGGAGACGACCACCAAGAACUACACCGCGCUGGGCCUCAAGCAGUGCUCCAUGAAGGACGAGCUGGACAAGGCGGCCGAGGGCACGGGGCUGGCCUUCAUCGUGUUCGCGCAGGCCAUCGUGGAGCUGCCCAUCGCGCCCUUCUGGUCCGUCAUCUUCUUCCUCAUGCUGCUGGCGCUGGGCAUCGGCUCGCAGAUCGGCAUCCUGGAGGGCAUGCUGUGCACCAUCUUCGACAUCGACCUGCUCAAGCGGAUCCGCAAGGAGUACAUCACGGCCGGCGUGUGCCUCGUCUGCUUCUUGGUGGGGCUGCUCUUCUGCACCGGCGCUGGCGAGUACUGGCUGCAGCUGUUCGACUCCUUCGCCGGGACGGUGGGCCUCGUCAUCAUCGCCCUGCUCGAGAUGGUGGCCGUCAUCUACGUGUAUGGCCACGAGAGAUUCACGCAAGACAUCGAAGACAUGACGGGCUACAGGCCUGGCUGGUACUGGCAAAUAACAUGGCGGUUCCUAGCACCCCUCAUCAUGACAGCUAUUUUAGUUUCAUCCGUGCUGUACAUGAUCAUUAAUACCCCGCAAUAUUCAGCGUGGGAUCCAGUAAAAGGAGAGGUGGUGAAAAUGGAUUACCCAGGAUGGGUGCUCGUCAUCGCAAUAACAAUGAUAGUUGUUGGUAUUUUACCCAUACCAGCAGUCUUCCUUUUGCGACGAUUCCAAUGUCUCAGAUUUGACAUUAACAUCAGCCAAGGAGCUAUUCGUAGAAUAGAUACAACUGUUUCCACAAAGGAAAUGAUGGGAGAUCAAGAUGUUGGGCCCUAGCAAGAUGGCCGCUGAUGGGGUGUUGGUGGUGCUGGUGGCUAGAUUCUUCCUAACAAUACUAACCACUGCUUAAAAGACUAACUAAUCCGUUGAUGAGUACCACGACGACUUCCCAGACACAGAUGACAAUGAUGAUGACGAAGACGACGAUGACAUGCCACCUAGCACCACCAACAAUAGAAGAUUGGCGCCACUUCCCUUCAGCCCCAAGAAGAAAGCUUUCAAAA
rnacentral:misc_RNA from 1 species